UCCAGAAGGAAACAUCCCAGACGGCUGGAUGUGGUUUUAAAAGCUGAACCAAAGCGACGCAGAGCAGGCCGGAAAGAACUCGAGGAGGACGGUGCCAGACGGACGUUUGAUUUUACGUUCAAAGAGAGUUUGGCAGUUUGCGGAGGAAAGUUCCGGGAAGCACUUUAACAUGGACUCGAGCCGCAGUGACCACACGUCCUCGCCCUGCUUCAACCAUCAAGACAUAGAACAGAUAGUUGGUGAAGAGGAGCAGCAGGAGUGUAGCUCCAGCGUGGACCAGCAGGAGCCAGAGCCCCCCCCCC